rnacentral:rRNA from 1 species
GAUGAACGCUAGCGGCAGGCUUAAUACAUGCAAGUCGAACGGUAAGGUCUCUUCGGAGAUACACGAGUGGCGCACGGGUGCGUAACGCGUAUGCAACCUACCUUUAACUGGGAAAUAGCCCCGAGAAAUCGGGAUUAAUGUCCCAUAUUAUUCUGAGGAUACCUAUCCUUAGAAUGAAAGCUCCGGCGGUUAUUGAUGGGCAUGCGUGACAUUAGCUAGUUGGUGAGGUAACGGCUCACCAAGGCAACGAUGUCUAGGGGUCCUGAGAGGGUUAUCCCCCACACUGGUACUGAGACACGGACCAGACUCCUACGGGAGGCAGCAGUAAGGAAUAUUGGGCAAUGGACGCAAGUCUGACCCAGCCAUGCCGCGUGAAGGAUGAAUGUCCUAUGGAUUGUAAACUUCUUUUAUGCAGGAAAAAUAUCCCGGUCGAGAACCGGGACUGAUGGUACUGUAUGAAUAAGCAUCGGCUAACUCCGUGCCAGCCGCCGCAGUAA